GUGAGAUUUUAUUAAAUGCUAAAAAAAUGGGAUAACAAGAAACAACAAAGAAUACAAAAGAUUCAAAUAAUUAUGUAUUUGUACAAAGGCUUUACUGAUUACCAAUAAUCCUUACAAGAGCAUACACCUUCUUUGAAGUGGUGGAACCGGUUUGUGUCUCUUAGAACAAUCAUCCUUCCAGUUACUCUAGACACAACCUUAAUCCAGGAGUGACAAUCUAUACAGACACGAAGAUUCUUUGUAAUCCUAAUAGGCAUUCCACUGGUAGUAUUAAUGAGUGCAAAAAUUGUUGCUAGCCGCUCACUAUGCCCACAUACCCACAUUGCUUUCGUUUCUUCGUUUACAUCAUGGAGAACAACGCUUGUACCAGGGACAUAACCAAUUUUUUUCAUAGCUUCUGACAAUUCAUUCCACAUCUUCCUAUACUCAGCAGAAUUACGGAACUCAAAACCCCCACCAGCCACAAAAGAGUGAACUCUAUUCUUUACUUGUGUCCAACUACAUCCAGCCUCUUUCUUAAUUCCUCUUUUUUGCAUAAGCUCUCGAACCUUAUUUACAGAGUCCCACAUACCUGCUUUUGCAUAAAUAUUUGAAAGUAUUACAUAAUUCCCAGAAUUAUUUGGCUCAUGCUCAAACAAUUUCUCCGCUAUAGCCUCUCCAAGAGAGACAUCACCGUGAAGGUGGCAUGAGUUGAGCAAUGAUCCCCAUAUGCUGGCCCUGGGCUUCAUGGGCAUGUUUUUAACUAUCUCCAUAGCCUCCUCAAUUCUUCCAGCCCUACCCAGGAUAUCUACCAAACAAGCAUAAUGCUCUAAACAUGGUGAGACGCCAAAAUCUAUGUCCAUUUUAUCAAACAAUUUCAUCCCAUCUUCUGUAAGCCCAGCAUGGCUGCAACCUGAUAACAAUGCAAUGAAGGUAACCUCAUCUGGUCUCACGCCAGAUGAAACCAUUUCAUCAAACAAUUCCAUUGCUUCUCUCAUGCGCCCAUUGAUUGCAUAUCCAGUCAACAUAGCAUUCCAAGAUGCCAAGUCCUUGCUUCUCAUUCCAUUAAACAGUCUCCUGCCAUAAUCAAACAUUCCACAUUUGACAUACAUAUCAAUAAGUGCAUUUAACACUAGGACAUCUGGUCUUUUUGCUGAUUUAACUAUUUGUGCGUGCAACUCUUUUCCACUGUGAAGAGUUGUCAAUCGUGCGCAAAUUGGCAAAAUUGUUGCAAUGGUAACCCAACUAAAUCCCGUUCCCUCACUCUGCAUCUUUCUAAACAUAUCCAGUGCCUCAAACAAUUGAUCUUGCUUAGCAAAACCUGCGAUCAAAGAAUUCCAAGAAACAACAUUCCUUUGAGGCAUUUCAUCAAACAUCUUCAACAUUUCACUAGAACACCCACAUUGCGCAUACAGUGUUAAGAGGGCGUUAUUCACCACCUGAUCAGGCUCUUCACUAGACUUUAUCACCUGACCAUGAACCCCUCUACCAAGCCUUGAAUCUUUCAAAUUCACACACGCUUUCAAAGCCACAGAAAAAGAGAAAUAACCCGGUUGUAUAUUAUGCCACAACAUGUCAAUGUAAACAAGCAAAGCCUCUCUAAAACGUUCAUUUUUGGAAUACCCAAUUGCCAUUGCCACCCAAACCGACUCGGGCGCCCCAUGAUUCUCAAGGCCAUCUUCAAAAAUAUGGCGCGCCACUUCGAGACGGCCACAGAUGGAGAAAAGGGUAAUGAGCUUGCUCUUUAAAGUGGGAUUUUGAAUAAGGUUGUGACCUCCUUGGCCUUCAGAGAGGAGUUGCAGAUAGAUUCUUUGUCCAUAGUCUAAUGAUUUAUAGGAGAUACAAGCAUGAAGAAGGAAGGCAUACGUCUCAGGAUCCGUAAACUUGGACGAUGAAGAUUCGAUCCGACGAAUAGCCUCGUCGAGUUUGCCUGAUUUGGAGAGGGAUUUGAGGGUUUGAUUGAGGAGAGGCUUUUGUGGUUUGGACGAUCUGGGGCCUGAGAUAACCGUUGCCUCGAUUGGGCGAGCUGUGCUGCUUAAGAUGGAAAUGGCGGGAAUCAUUAUCAGAAUGUGCACGGUGCACCGUUA
rnacentral:misc_RNA from 1 species